GAAUUUCUGGAUUGACAGUAGAAAAAGUAGCUGAUUUAUUAAACUUGCAUGAAUAUAGCUUUUGUACCUUUGAUAAUUUUAUUAUGUGUGAAUGCUUUUGAUAUAUAGUAACAAGUAUCCUAGUCUAAAAAUUCAAAAUUUAAUGUAUUUUGUUUAUAAUUUAUUUUAAUUGUAAAAAUAGUUAAUGAAAAUGAUCCCUUCACAUAAAUUGCCGACAUAUGAUAAUAGUUGGUCAAUAUUAGAACAAAUAUUUGUAGUGAAAUGUAAAUUUAGAAAUUAUUGAGUGCAUUGAUUAUUGGAAUCAUUGAUUAUUGUGAGGUCCGAUAAAUGUGAUUGCAAAAUUUUUGGAAGUAAAAUCACCACUGAAAUUAAUAAUAUGAUAUAAAAAUAAGAAGAUGUGGUAUGAUUGCCAAUGAGACACCUCUCCACAAGAGACCAAAUUAAGAUGGUACAUAACACUGCAGGGAGAUAACUCUGCAAAAUCAUCUGAAUGUUUUAAUCGCAUUCUAUUGUUAAGAAAAUAUGAAGCUUCUCAAUGGUCAAAAUCAGUGUUUGUCAAACUGCUAUAUAUCCAACUAAUUUUUCUGACAAUGUGUCUGGUUCAAGUCUUUUGAAAACUUUAUAUUUUUGUCAAAGGGUCAAAGUAUUAGAUAUUUUGUCAAAAUUUUAUGAAAAUUAAACAAGCUAAAUUAAUUUUAGUCAAGGUGUUUGGUACUACCUUAUAUGACACAGAAACUGUUAUUGUGAAACCUAAUAGUCACAUUUUCACAAUAAUUUCUGAAUUUACAGUUUGUGUAAGAAGAAUCAUUGUGAUAUUUUUUAAAAUAAAAUGAUAAGAAAACAUGUUUAUUGAAAUUGCUAGUUGUUAAUGUUUGCUUGUCACAAUUUUGCCAUUAUCUGGUGACCAGAAU
rnacentral:lncRNA from 1 species